AUUGAACGCUGGCGGCAGGCCUAACACAUGCGAGUCGAACGGUAACAGGAAACAGCUUGCUGUUUCGCUGACGAGUGGCGGACGGGUGAGUAAUGUCUGGGAAACUGCCUGAUGGAGGGGGAUAACUACUGGAAACGGUAGCUAAUACCGCAUAACGUCGCAAGACCAAAGAGGGGGACCCUCGGGCCUCUUGCCAUCGGAUGUGCCCAGAUGGGAUUAGCUUGUUGGUGGGGUAACGGCGCACCAAGGCGACGAUCCCUAGCUGGUCUGAGAGGAUGACCAGCCACACUGGAACUGAGACACGGUCCAGACUCCUACGGGAGGCAGCAGUGGGGAAUAUUGCACAAUGGGCGCAAGCCUGAUGCAGCCAUGCCGCGUGUAUGAAGAAGGCCUUCGGGUUGUAAAGUACUUUCAGCGGGGAGGAAGGGAGUAAAGUUAAUACCUUUGCUCAUUGACGUUACCCGCAGAAGAAGCACCGGCUAACUCCGUG
rnacentral:rRNA from 1 species